rnacentral:tRNA from 1 species
GGCUCCUUAGUUCAUUUGGUAGAAUAUGGGCUUUGUAACCCCAAGAGAACGGAUCGUAACCGUUAGGAGCCU